UACGAAGGGGGCUAGCGUUGCUCGGAAUCACUGGGCGUAAAGGGUGCGUAGGCGGGUUUUUAAGUCAGGGGUGAAAUCCUGGAGCUCAACUCCAGAACUGCCUUUGAUACUGAAGAUCUUGAGUUCGGGAGAGGUGAGUGGAACUGCGAGUGUAGAGGUGAAAUUCGUAGAUAUUCGCAAGAACACCAGUGGCGAAGGCGGCUCACUGGCCCGAUACUGACGCUGAGGCACGAAAGCGAUGGGGAGCAAACUAGGG
rnacentral:rRNA from 1 species